GGGACUGUAGCUCAGUGGAAGAGCACAUGGUUUGUCAUGCAGAAGGUUGCAGGUUCAAUCCCAGGCAAUUCCA